AGUGAACGCUGGCGGUAGGCCUAACACAUGCAAGUCGAACGGCAGCACAGUAAGAGCUUGCUCUUACGGGUGGCGAGUGGCGGACGGGUGAGGAAUACAUCGGAAUCUACUUUUUCGUGGGGGAUAACGUAGGGAAACUUACGCUAAUACCGCAUACGACCUACGGGUGAAAGCAGGGGAUCUUCGGACCUUGCGCGAUUGAAUGAGCCGAUGUCGGAUUAGCUAGUUGGCGGGGUAAAGGCCCACCAAGGCGACGAUCCGUAGCUGGUCUGAGAGGAUGAUCAGCCACACUGGAACUGAGACACGGUCCAGACGCCUACGGGAGGCAGCAGUGGGGAAUAUUGGACAAUGGGCGCAAGACUGAUCAAGCCAUACCGCGUGGGUGAAGAAGGCCUUCGGGUUGUAAAGCACUUUUGUUGGGAAAGAAAAGCAGCAGGUUAAUACCCCGCUGUUCUGACGGUACCCAAAGAAUAAGCACCGGCUAACUUCGUG
rnacentral:rRNA from 1 species